rnacentral:lncRNA from 10 species
CACACACCUCCACACGCGCACAUACACACACAUGCUGACAGGUGUGCACAUAUGCGCACGUGCACACACAAAUACGCACGCACAGCACACACAGACACAUAAGUGUCCAUAAACAACACAGAUCUGGCCUCAGAGCCACCCUCCAGGUGCGGCUGCCCCGGGCCCCAGGUGCGGCUGCACCGUGCUGUGGUGACAGCCACAGCAGGAUCAGAGCAGCCUCAAGGCCCUUCAGGAGCCGGCAGAGCUGGCCCCAGGCUGAGCUUGGGGAGGUGAGCCCAGGCCUGGGACCGACGCUUCCUAAUUGGCGGGCAGAGUCCAUGCAGCCCCUCCCAGUCUACACGGAAGCCCACGUGUCCACCUCCUGCUUCUGCUGUCCCCAGGACAGUGAAAUUUACUAAUGUGGAUUAAGAACAUUUUUUAAAUAAAAAAACAUUUUACACAUUGAGGACGGAAGAGAGAAGAUUACGGCCAACCAACCCCGUGCACUUCCCCGCCCAGGUUCAUGGAGUCUGAGCCCUCUGGCCUCCUGAGCCUCUGGGCUCUGUCACCAGGUGGGCGCCUUCCCCAGCCCGUGAGGCUCGCUGCUCACGGGGGCCCCGAUGCCUGAGUGAUGUCAUGGAUUUAGGUUUCAGUGCUGGCACAUGUGGCCCGCAGAGCUCAGCUCCUCUGUGAGGGACGUUUCGGCUCCUGUGGGCUUUGCUGUCCCCCAUGCUGACUCUGCCUCACUUGGUUGUCCUCAGGUCACUCUGUGCGGUGUGCACUGACCCCAGCCAGUGGAUGUUCCCCGUCCAAGAGCAAAGCUACAGUCGGCUGCAGGUGCAGUGACUUUUGCACAGUGGAAGAAUUUCUCCAGAAGAUAUUCCUGCAGGUGGAAUCACUGGAUCGUAGGCCCAGAUGUCUUCCACUUACUUGAUUUUGCCUGAUGCCUUCCAAGGAGGCUGUGCACAGCAGGUGUGAGAUGCCCCAUCUCACCAACCGGCCAACAUCCCGAUGGGAGAUGUUGAGUUUUCACCACGCUGCUGAGUGUGACGUGGAAUCUUCUUAUUUUAGCUUGCAUUUCCCUGAUUACAAGUCAGGUGGAACAUCUCGAAUAUGUUUCUGGGCCAUUUGAUUUUCCUGCAAGUCACCUGUUCCAGUUCUUUGCCCAUUUCCUGUUGGGUUGGUCAAUAUUUUUUGUGAUUACACGUUGGAUACGUGGCUGGCCUUUGGCUUGCCUUUGACUUCGUUUGUUCUAUCGAAGCAUGUGCAGAAUUGUUAAAUUUUAAUGUAUUCAAAUGCAUUAAUCUCAUUUCUUAUUUUUGUUGUUUUAUUUUUUGUUUUUUGUUUUUUUGAGACAGAGUCUCGCUCUGUCUCCCAGGCUGGAAUACAGUGACACGAUCUUGGCUCACUGCAACCUCUGCCUCCCCACUUCAAGCAAUCCUCCUGCCUCAGCUUCCUGAGAAGCUGGGACCACAGGCAUGUGCCAUCAUGUCCGGCUAAUUUUCUUUUUAAAAUGUUGUAGCAAUGGAGCCUGGGCUCAAGCCAUCUUCCCACCUCAGCCUGCCAAGUAGCUGGGACCACAGACAUGUGCCACUGCUGCGCCCAGCUAGCCUUUAAUAUUUUUAAAUGCUGUAAGAUCUGCAGGUUUUUUUCCAACCAAGUUUAUAGCUUUUCACCCCACGGAUCCCCGAGGCCAUGACAGGCAGUGACCUCCUUGGGGCACCCGCAGAGUCCUCCCCCCCAUCUUGGGAGGGCUUGUCCAGUUUCAGUUUUGUUUGUUUACUAGGCUUUGUUUUACAGUCACUAGUUAAAUUUACUAAGAUUUUUCAACUUCUUGUCUCAAGGGACUUCAUUUUAAUAAACAAUAUCUUUUCUCUUUUCUUUC